rnacentral:rRNA from 1 species
GUCUUUUUGAUUAUAAUUUAAAGUCUAACCUGCCCGCUGAUUUAUUGAAUGGCCGCAGUAUUUUGACUGUGCGAAGGUAGCAUAAUAAUUAGUUUUUUAAAUGAGAACUUGUAUGAAAGGUUGAAUAAAAAAAUUACUGUCUCAAUUUUAAUUAAUUAAAAUUUUAUUUUUAAGUUAAAAAGCUUAAAUAUUAUUUAAAGACGAGAAGACCCUAUAGAGUUUAAUUUUUUAUUUUUAUAAAAUAAUAGGAUUUUAGUAUUUUAAUUUAAUAAAAAAUUUAAUUGGGGUGAUUAUGAAAUUUGAGAAACUUUUAUUAAUUAAUACAUUUAUUUAUGGAAAAAUGAUCUACAAUUUGUGAUUAUAAGAUAAAAUUACCUUAGGGAUAACAGCGUAAUUUUUUUUAAGAGUUCUUAUCGAAAAAAAAGAUUGCGACCUCGAUGUUGGAUUAAAAUAAAUUUUUGGUGUAGAAGCUAAAGAAUUAAGUCUGUUCGACUUUUAAAAUUUUACA